AGGUUAGAUAUUACUUAGAUAUGGUUCCUUUCUACUACCAGUAGCACUACUAGUGACAUGGAAGGAAUUAUCGAAAUGGUUGCUCAUGGAAAGAAAGAAGUUCGGCAAAAAAUUUCAAGCUGAUUUCGGUUUCCGAUAGGGAGCAUACCGUCUGAGGCUUUUGGUUUGGUUAGAGUCCAGAAAUGCACAGGACAUGAUAAGAGUCUGCUCGAACAAAAAAAAAGUAUAUCCUCUCUUUGCUGGCCAGAAAACAAGAAAAGAACCAUUGUUCUAAGAUUAAUAGUUUGGUCUUGAAGCGCUCACGUAGUCUAAGACCAGGUAUAAAAUCUUAAAAUCGGGUAAGUUUGAGCAUGAAUCCGAAGCGGUCCGGCUCAUUUCAUACUGCUAAAACGAUUUAUAGGCCAAAUUUUGAUGCAAUCCUUCAUGCACUGUGAUGCUUAUGAAAACAGGAAGGUGAUGAGAGAAUUUGCACUGGAGAUAGAGAAGCUAGCAGAGCAACUUCUAGACCUGUUGUGUGAGAACCUCGGUCUGGAGAAAGGGUACCUGAAGAAGGUGUUCUAUGGAUCCAAAGGGCCAACAUUUGGAACCAAGGUGAGCAACUACCCUCCGUGCCCGAACCCAGAGCUUUUUAAGGGCCUCCGGGCCCACACCGACGCCGGUGGGAUCAUCCUUCUCUUCCAGGACGACAAGGUCGGCGGCCUUCAACUCCUCAAGGACGGCAAAUGGAUCGAUGUCCCUCCACUGAGGCAUUCGAUUGUCAUCAACUUAGGCGACCAGCUAGAGGUAUAUCUAUUUGUAGUAUUUCUCUAGCCACACAAGCUAACUAAAUAGCUUACCUCAUGAGCGGUGUCUAAAUGAAUAUCGUAAAUCCGAAAGCCCAAACACAAUGGCCUGAACUUGUUCAGUUUUACCGAGACCUCGUUCGGUUUUCAAGUGAUACUUCUAUUUCCUAUCGGCACAUGUGCUUCUGCUUGCCGCUUGGUGAAUCUUAUGGGGAGAGUCUAAAAAGAUACAGUUCACAGUAAUGAUAGCUUUUGUUGUAUGUGUU
rnacentral:lncRNA from 1 species